rnacentral:tRNA from 2 species
CCCGGCGAAGCUAACUCGGUAGAAGCGCCGUGCUGAAAACGCGGAGGAGCUGGUUCGACCCCAGCCACCGGGACCU